rnacentral:rRNA from 1 species
CCUACGGGAGGCAGCAGUGGGGAAUAUUGCACAAUGGGGGAAACCCUGAUGCAGCGACGCCGCGUGAGUGAAGAAGUAUUUCGGUAUGUAAAGCUCUAUCAGCAGGGAAGAAGCAAGACGGUAGCGGACUAAGAAGCACCGGCUAAGUACGUGCCAGCAGCCGCGGUAAUACGAAGGGGGCAAGCGUUAGCCGGAUUUACUGGGUGUAAAGGGAGCGUAGAGGGUAUGGAAAGUCGGAAGGGAAAGCCCCGGGCUUCACCCCGGGACUGCGUGGGAAACUGUUAGUCUAGAGUGCUGGAGAGGUAAGUGGAAUUCCUGGUGUAGCGGUGAAAUGCGUAGAUAUUAGGCGGAACACCAGUGGCGAAGGCGGCUUACUGGCCCGUAACUGACGUUGAGGCUCGACAGCGUGGGGAGCAAACAGGAUUAGAUACCCCGGUAGUC